CAAUAAGCGGAGGAAAAGAAACCAACAGGGAUUACCUCAGUAACGGCGAGUGAAGCGGUAACAGCUCAAAUUUGAAAUCUGGCCUCACGGUCCGAGUUGUAAUUUGUAGAGGAUGCUUCGAGCAUGGUCUGGCCUAAGUUCCUUGGAACAGGACGUCAUAGAGGGUGAGAAUCCCGUAUGCGGCCAGGUGCCUACGCUCAUGUGAAGCUCCUUCGACGAGUCGAGUUGUUUGGGAAUGCAGCUCAAAAUGGGUGGUAAAUUUCAUCUAAAGCUAAAUAUUGGCCAGAGACCGAUAGCGCACAAGUAGAGUGAUCGAAAGAUGAAAAGCACUUUGGAAAGAGAGUUAAACAGUACGUGAAAUUGUUGAAAGGGAAGCGCUUGCAACCAGACUUGCGCGCGGCCGAUCAUCCGGUGUUCUCACCGGUGCACUCGGCCGUGCUCAGGCCAGCAUCGGUUUUGGCGGCUGGAUAAAGGCCCUAGGAAUGUGGCUCCUCUCGGGGAGUGUUAUAGCCUAGGGUGCAAUGCAGCCUGCUGGGACCGAGGACCGCGCUUCGGCUAGGAUGCUGGCGUAAUGGUUGUAAGCGGCCCGUCUUGAAACACGGACCAAGGAGUCUAACAUCUAUGCGAGUGUUUGGGUGUCAAACCCAUACGCGUAAUGAAAGUGAACGGAGGUGAGAACCCUUAAGGGUGCAUCAUCGACCGAUCCUGAUGUCUUCGGAAGGAUUUGAGUAAGAGCAUAGCUGUUGGGACCCGAAAGAUGGUGAACUAUGCCUGAAUAGGGUGAAGCCAGAGGAAACUCUGGUGGAGGCUCGCAGCGGUUCUGACGUGCAAAUCGAUCGUCAAAUUUGGGUAUAGGGGCGAAAGACUAAUCGAACCAUCUAGUAGCUGGUCUUGCCGA
rnacentral:rRNA from 1 species